AGAGACAAAAUGGUAAGAUUUUUAAUGUUAUAUUCUGGUGAUCAAACUCUAUCACCGAAUUAGAUUUUUCACUUCAAAAGGUCAAGAAUUUUGCUAGCUCGCUUCACUCUCCGGAGCCUUCAAAAAUUGUCAAACACGUCAUGUUGUGCCCCUCAAUAUUUUUGGCUCAUUACGCCCACUGUGCUCAACACUAUUUUUCUCCUUUUCUUUGUUUAGGUUUCAUUAAAUUGGUACAAAAGAAAAGAUAAGACUCGCAUAAAGCCGAGAUGAUGAUGAUGACUCGCUUACUCUUCAUAUCUUUCACUGUUGCUCUCACGCAUCUGAUAGCCGCAUCGGUUUCUCGACCUUGCGCACAAGAUGGCAUCGCCACCAUACAUUACAAGAAGGAUCCAUACAGAUCGUACAGGAAAGGUCCAGUAAGUCACGACGUAGCCAAUGCCGAAUGCUCGUACCCAUCGCAGGCAAAGCCCACGAUGUACACACCGACGCGAGCUAUUCCUCGGAACACGAGCAUGUCGAGUCGUACAACUCUCAAGUCAAGCCCAAAAGAAAAGUGGCUUGCGGGUUUAUGGAAGGAUUUGAAGGCACAUGAGUCAUGAACCUCACGAGCAAGAUACGAUGAAGCUCACGAGCUAGAUACGAUUUAACUAUAUAUUUUUUUCUUGGAGAUCACUAAAGGAGUGUUGCGAGUCCCUUGCAAUCAAUUGCAAAUCUAUUUUGGAGUCCAUAUAGAUCAGUCAUAAGUCUUGCAAUUAUUUGCAAAUUAGUAAUUGAAUGCCGAUCUCUUUCUGGCAACAUAUCACUGAUUUGCUACAACUAAACCUGAUCUAUUAAUGAUAUUGUAAAAUAUUGCAAUUUUAAAAAAAAUCACGUGCACACGUUGAUAUCAUAUCAUGCACAUUUAUGUUACUUUAUUGUCGCAUUUGCAAAUAUUUUUCCGAAGAUAAAUCAAAUUAAAGGACAAGUCCACCCCAACAAAAGUUGAUUUGAAUAAAAAGAGAAAAUCCCAAAAAGCAUAACACUGAAAAUUUCAUCAAAAUCGGAUGUAAAAUAAGAAAGUUAUGACUUUUUAAAGUUUCGCUUAAUUUCACAAAACAGUUCUAUUCACAUCCUGGUCGGUAUAUGCAAAUGAGGAAACUGAUGACAUCAUCCACUCACUAUUGCUUUUAUAUUUUAUUAUAUGAAAUAUUCUAAUUUUCUCCUCAUUGUCAAGUGAAACAUCAAUUAAUUCCUCCCUUAACAUGUGUAGCUAGCGUUGUUUAAUACUAUAUGGUUCAGUCAAGUUGGUCCUUAUUGUCAAAUCUGUAAAGAAUGAAAAAUUGUAUAAUUCAAAUAAUAAAAAACAAAAGAAAUAGUGAGUGAUGGACAUCAUCGACUGACUCAUUUGCAUGUCACUGAGUUGUGCACAUCACUAUUUUGUGAAAAAAUAAUCGAAACUUUAAAAUUCCAUAACUUUCUUAUUUCACAUCCGAUUUUGAUGAAAUUUUCAGCGUCAUGCUAGCUUGAUUUUUCUCUAUUUAUUCAAAUAAACAUUUUUCUGGGGUGGACUUGACCUUCAACAAGGGGAAUAACAAAAUUCACUAAGGCCUAAACUAAGAUUAUUGAUGUUUUAGAGAAUUUCAAUAUUUUGAAAAUAAAGAAAUACAGUUUGUGCUUGUCUUGUAUAUAUAUUAUAAUGUGAAAAACAGUAUUUUUUCUGUAAAUUUGAUAAUGGCGAAUAAUAAUUAUCUAUACGUAUAAAGAUUGUUGCCGCCAGCAGAUGGUUGGCUUGUUUAGUUAUAAGAGAUAAAGAAGGAAUAAGACAUGAAAGAUAUGAAAUAUUAAAUACCUGCAGGAGAAACAAUCAUGCUGUUGCCAUGGAAACGCGUUGUUUGGAAUCUAGUUUCUAGACAUACAUAAAUCCUUAUCUCCAUGGUGAUACCAUAGAGCUAUACCAGAUGACAAGAUUCAGGCCCUUAAACGGAUAGGCGCAGAUCCGGUAGUGCGGGCCUUGUUACCGGGUUUACUUUUAAUUGGUUUAAUGCCAAUUCGGCCAAUUACCAACUCGUCAUUUGGUCUACCAUCAGUUUUUCCACUAUCAUUUCGUAUAAUAAUUAGUUGAUCCAAUAGCCAUUUAGUCCAUAUACCAUUUGGUCUAAUUGGACUAAGUUUUAAUUCGACGAAAUGAAUGAAAAUAAAAAAAAUCCAUUUUAGACCAACUGCUUAUGAGACGAAAUGGUCUUAAACGAAGUGAUGGUUUGACCAAAUGAUUAUUGAACCAAAUAGUUAUUGGACCAAAUGUUGUUAGACGAAAUGUCGAUGGACGGAAUGGCAUUAGACGAAAUGAAAGUAGGCCAUGUGAUGAGUUGGCAGUGGACGAAUUUACCCCCCCCCCCCCGACCCUAAUAUGAAAAGUGCCUCCCCCUCUUGACUGAUCCUGGAUACGCCCCUAUUAUACUAGAUUGUUCCAACUUUACCAAAAUGUGAAGCGUUGAUAUAAAGUAUUCGAUUUUUCCCACGUGCUUCUUAAAGGACAAGUCCACCCCGACAAAAAGUUGAUUUGGAUAAAAAGAGAAAAAUCCAACAAGCAUAACACUGAAAAUUUCAUCAAAAUCAACUAUAAAAAUAUAUUACUUUACUUACAUUUUAGUUAGUAACCAUUAUUAAAUGUCUCGUAUUGUAUAAUGAGUUUUUAUUUUUAAGGUUGCCUCUUAUUCUCUUUCCAAUUUCCACCUCUUUCUUUCCCUUUUCUUUUGUCUUAUCCCUAUUUCUUUCCCUUUUCUCAUCCUUCCCCUCUUUCUCCCUAAUCUUUUACCCUCCCUGUUCUUCAUUGGUGACACUUUGUAGUAAUUAUGUUAUGGCCUUUGGUAUUUACUUAUGAUAUACAUUUCUUUUUCAUCUAGAUGAAUCUGUAUUGUAUUUAAUUAUUUAUCUCUUUAUAAUGUUACUUUAUAUUUUGUUAUGUUUCUAUCUGUACAUGUAAACUUUCACACAUUUCAGUCUUUGACUGCUUGUGAUUGUAUUUUGAUAGUUUUUAUUGCAAUAAAAUCCAAUAUAUAUAUAAUUAUAUAAUAUAAAAAUCGGACGUAAAAUAAGAAAGUUAUGACAAUUGUUUUGCUUAAUUUCACAAAACAGUUAUGCUCAUCCUGGUCGGUAUGCAAAUGAGGAGACUGAUAACGUCAUCCACUCACUAUUGCAUGCAUGUCACCGAGUUGUGCACAUCACUGUUUUGUGAAAAAUAAGCGAAACUUUAAAAUGUUAUAACUUUCUUAUUUUGCAUCCGAUUUUGAUGAAAUUUUAUGCGUUAUGUUAGUUUGAUUUUUCUCUAUUUAUUCAAAUUAAUAUUUGUUCGGUGUGGACUUAACCUUUAACAACCCGUUAACAACAUACAAAGAGAGAAGUCAAAAGCAAUGACGCUGUGUGCUUUGUUUUAUUUCAUUAAAAUCUUAAAAGGAGAAAGGUACAGCAUUUUUAAAUUUUUUGUUGAUAUCACAAAUAACACGGGUGGAAUGCCAAAAUGAAGGAAGUAAUGGCGUCUCACACUCAUUAUUUCUUUUAUAAUUUCCAAAAAAAAUAGGCAUAAAACUUAUAUAUAUACAUAUUGAUAUUUUCUCUUUUUUAUGCAAAGCGUGGUUUGAAUACAAUCGAUAUUUUAGCAUUGUUGUAUCAUGUUGCUUCAUUCAACCAACAAGAUCAAGAGCUUGUUUAUUAUCAAAUUGAAAAGAACUGGAUUUCGCAAAAAAAAAGCUAUAUAGGGAGUGUGUUACGUACAUAAUUGCCUCACUUACGCAUCACUCUUGCCACGUUUGUUCUAUUAAGUUUAGUGAAAAUUGAAAUGAAUUUUUAUUUGGCAUCAGAAUAUGAUGAAAUUUGAAGAGAUAGUUUUUUGGCUUUUAGAUGAAAUAUCAGCAAUAUUUCAUAUGCAUUUUUGUACAUGGAGCGACAUUUCUUAUAAACGCUGUUUGACUCAGUGACUUGGUGACUCGCACUCUCUUUGCUCAGAGAACAAUUGCAUUUGAAGGGCCCAGAUUUUGGAACGAUCUUCCCCAUGAUAUGGUAUACGUGCCUCACUUAAUAUAUUCAAACGUAAAUUGAAAGCGAUGCUUAUCAAUUCUUAUAAAUUCCCUGUGUAAACUUUUAUAUACAUGUACUUUGUUAAUACGCUCUGGCUGAGUAAUGAGUAAUAAAUAAUAGUCAUAGAGUGGCAGUCUGGCAGACUCCUUUUUAUUUUUUUGUAUUCCUUACAUAUCCACAAUUGUCACAUUUUUGCAUUACUUUCAAUUUACUUAUAUACCUGUCCUCUCCUACUCAUUAAGACUGGUAUUUUUUCUGGAUCCUGCAGACUUAACAAGCUUUGCUUUUUUAUGCAGGUUCCCUCAUAUUUCACUCUUUUAAAUUGUCUUUAAUUCCAAAUCGCUAUUUUCUUUAAUUUGAAUUAAUUGUUAUGCCUUGUCUGAUUGUAUUCUCAUGAGUUUUCUGAUAUUGUUUUCAUAUUGUUGUUUGAACUUGUGAAAUAUGUAAAAUAAAGUCAAAUCAAAUCUUGAUAGUCAUGUUCCGCAGGUGGUUUGGUAUAAUAUUAUGCACUUAUAAAAAUGCCUCGUUAUCCUGUUUGUGUAUGUAUUUUGGAUAUACUUCCCCAGUCAUUCAAAUUAAUUAUUAACACAGGAGAAUAGUCCUACAUCUGUCCUAUCAACUGUUUUUGUUCUGUAUCUUCUUUCAUUCAGAACCAUACAAUGACCGAAUUAACCACAUAGGCAUAUUUAAAACAUUCGAUUUCUUAAUAUGAUUACAUCGAGUGUAUUGUGCAACUUUUUACAACUGAUGUUUAAUGUCAUUUUUAGAAUUGAAUUGUGGAAAAUAAAAAUUUAGUAAUA